UCCGCUACUGAGAACGUGCGCGCAGAAAGGACCCAGCCGCGCCGUCCGCUCCUUCGCGCAAGCCCCCCUCCCCCACACACAGCCGCCGCACCCUUCUUCCUGUCCUCCACCCCGCCUGGGCGCCGCCUCCUCCUCUCCCUCUUCCGCGGCUCGCCCAGCCACCGUUCCCAGCCCCGCUGCUUCGUCGUUUGCUCCUCCACUGACGGCAGUUUAGGUAAGACGAAGAUGAGCGUCCGAUCUACGCCCUCGCCAGGUUGCCUCCAUUAGUGAGGAGCGGCCGAUCCACGUGUGUGCCGUCGCUGCAGGGAUAGCGAAUGUCAGCGAGAUAGGCCGUCGUUGGAGCACGCAGCCGUGCCCCCCUCCGCUUCUCCUGGCGGCACCUCUCUACCGGAGUCCAUUCUUCUUGGCUUUCAACGCUGCCUGUUCUUGCUGUGAACUAUUGUUAUAUUACGCUCUGCAGUCGCUCUGCAGAUGGGAGGAAACAAUGAGGACAGGGCAGUUUUUAUGCAGAUGUUGAUGUUUUUGGCUGGAAUCAACACCCUUCUAAAGAGUUUCUUUGGUUACCUAAUUGCCUGCAGUGAUUGGUGGAUCACACACCUUUGUUCUACCUACCAUUUUGAUCAUACUUGUGGGACGCUAUGCAGACGAAUCAGAUCCACACGUAUUAUAUGUUGAAAAGAAGGGUAAUUCUACUUGCCUCCCAGUAAUCUUUUCCUGCAUGUAAACUGAUGAGUCACCUGGAUUUCGUUUUUGAUGGAAUUCCCCAAAAUCUUGCAUGGAGCAAAAGGUGCUUUGAUCGUUGCUUCUGUACUUGGUGAUCUUCUUUACUGUUUAAUAGUUGCUUCAUGUUUCUAUAGGAUACCCCCAUGCUACAUGGCAACCAUAGUGAGCAUGUCAAAAGUUUAGCAUGAUUAUUAUAAUUCUCUUCUCUGUAAAUUAUUAUAUGAAGUUUGCGUUUUGCUUGGUUAACUCUUCUGAAGCUCACAUGCUUUUCUUAAAGCUUGGUGCUGACACUCAUAAAUCUGUUGUAGGCUCACUAUAUAAGAUAAUGAAUCUGUGUUCUAUAGACUAUCGUGGUAAAGAGGUUUUUAUCAGGUUAUUCAUUCCCAUGCAUUGAACCUAUGGUUCUAACUUUUGCCCAUGAUAAAGAAAAUGGGGUUUACCGCUUUUAAUCAACAUCUAAUUAAACCAACAAAACAUCUACAGUUCCGCCAACAUAACAUUUUUUUUGCUGGUGGACAUACCAAAUUACUCAUAUGUAUCAUAUUAUGUUGCUUCCCUUAUUGUUUUCUCCCAGGAAUGACGAGGCAUUCAGGUUCUCUUUUUAGCUUUCCUACACAGGAACAUAUUGCAAAAUUAAUAUACAUAACGUUGUUCCACCUACAGGUCUAUCUUAUAUCUACAGGAUCCUUUGCAUAUUGGCCUCUUCUUACCGGCAUCUGGUAAAAGUUGUGAUCGAGGAGAAGAUAAUGACUGUCUUAUAACUCUGGCAAGCCCGGCUGACAGUCCUUCUUGCUCUCCUCUUGGUAUAACAUUCAAUGGUAGUGAUAGCUUUGGGCGUGACUCUGCACCCUUUCAUGUAAUUGUGUUCCUUGAACGAUAUUUAUAAUUGUGAUACUCAGUUUAUGAGAGACAAAUGGACCAAUGGUUAAUGAUCCUGCGUUGAGAAAAAAAAUGGAAUGUGCAUUGAGUGGCUUUAGUUUUCUUUGC